CACAAGAAACCCAAAUUAACUGUAGUACGGCGUAAAGAGUGGUACCAUGCUAUCCCAACAACUAAGAUCAAAGUGCAACUAAGCCGUCAUAAGCCCAAGAUGCAUCUAAAAACACCCUCAAGACGAUCUUAGCAUUUCCGACUGAUUAAAUCCCACGAAAGCUAGGGCACAAACUGGGAUUAGAUACCCCACUAUGCCUAGCCCUAAAUCUUGAUACUCUCCCCCACUAAAGUAUCCGCCCGAGAACUACGAGCACAAACGCUUAAAACUCUAAGGACUUGGCGGUGCCCCAGAUCCACCUAGAGGAGCCUGUUCUGUAAUCGAUAACCCACGAUACACCCAACCCCCCCUUGCCAAAACAGCCUAUAUACCGCCGUCGCCAGCCCACCUCUCCUGAGAGUCCAACAGUGAGCGAAAUAGCCCCACCUCGCUAGCAAGACAGGUCAAGGUAUAGCCUAUGGGGCGGAAGAAAUGGGCUACAUUUUCUAAGAUAGACAACUUCACGGAAAGGGACAUGAAACCGUCCCCAGAAGGCGGAUUUAGCAGUAAAGCGGGAUAAUAAAGCCCCCUUUAAACCGGCCCUGAGGCACGUACAUACCGCCCGUCACCCUCCUCACAAGCUAUAUACACACGUAACUAACUCCUGCUCACCAGCUGAAGAUGAGGUAAGUCGUAACAAG
rnacentral:rRNA from 1 species